rnacentral:rRNA from 1 species
CCAGACUCCUACGGGAGGCAGCAGUGGGGGAUAUUGCACAAUGGGGGAAACCCUGAUGCAGCGACGCCGCGUGUGGGAAGACGGUCCUCUGGAUUGUAAACCACUGUCCCCAGGGACGAAAAUGACGGUACCUGCAAAGGAAGCACCGGCUAACUCCGUGCCAGCAGCCGCGGUAAUACGGAGGGUGCGAGCGUUAAUCGGAAUUACUGGGCGUAAAGCGCUCGUAGGCGGUAUGUCAAGUCAAGGGUGAAAUCCCCGCGCUCAACGUGGGAACUGCCUUUGAAACUGGCAAACUGGAGUGUGUGAGAGGAUAGUGGAAUUCCUGGUGUAGCGGUGAAAUGCGUAGAUAUCAGGAGGAACACCGGCGGCGAAGGCGGCCUGCUGGACCGUAACUGACGUUGAGGCUCGAAAGCGUGGGGAGCAAACAGGAUUAGAUACCCUAGUAC